UACAGAGGUCUCAAGCGUUGUUCGGAUUCAUUGGGCGUAAAGGGUGCGUAGGCGGCGCGGUAAGUCGGGUGUGAAAUCUCGGGGCUUAACUCCGAAACUGCAUUCGAUACUGCCGUGCUUGAGCACUGGAGAGGAGACUGGAAUUUACGGUGUAGCGGUGAAAUGCGUAGAUAUCGUAAGGAAGACCAGUGGCGAAGGCGGGUCUCUGGACAGUUCCUGACGCUGAGGCACGAAGGCCAGGGGAGCAAACGGG
rnacentral:rRNA from 1 species